UAUGAAAUGCCUGAUUAAAGGGUUAUUUUGAUAGAAUAAUUUAUAUAAAUUUAAAUUUAUUUUCAUAA
rnacentral:tRNA from 1 species